AUGAACGCUGGCGGCGUGCCUAAUACAUGCAAGUCGAGCGAACGGACGAGAAGCUUGCUUCUCUGAUGUUAGCGGCGGACGGGUGAGUAACACGUGGAUAACCUACCUAUAAGACUGGGAUAACUUCGGGAAACCGGAGCUAAUACCGGAUGAUAUUUUGAACCGCAUGGUUCAAAAGUGAAAGACGGUCUUGCUGUCACUUAUAGAUGGAUCCGCGCUGCAUUAGCUAGUUGGUAAGGUAACGGCUUACCAAGGCAACGAUGCAUAGCCGACCUGAGAGGGUGAUCGGCCACACUGGAACUGAGACACGGUCCAGACUCCUACGGGAGGCAGCAGUAGGGAAUCUUCCGCAAUUGGCGAAAGCCUGACGGAGCAACGCCGCGUGAGUGAUGAAGGUCUUCGGAUCGUAAAACUCUGUUAUUAGGGAAGAACAUAUGUGUAAGUAACUGUGCACAUCUUGACGGUACCUAAUCAGAAAGCCACGGCUAACUACGUG
rnacentral:rRNA from 1 species